GGCCGCGCUCCUCGCGGCGCUUCCCCGGAAUAGCGUCAUCAGCUCUAUAAGAGAGCGUGUGCAGAAGGGCUCGGUCUUUUACAUCCGGAGAGCGUCUAGUUUAGGUUAAGGUACGCGUUCUUGUUUUGUGCGCUAAAAUACUUGGGACGGAACUUUUUGUCUUAGUUUAAGAUGCAGGAGAUUCAGCAAUCUUGUAGUGGUAGGUCGAGGUCAGUUUUGGAAAGCCUGAGUAGACUGAGACGUCCCUUAGUUCGCUCGGCAGCCACGUGCAGCCCGGGGAGCUGAGUCGGAAGCCUAGCGCGCGUGGGCCGUGGGCCCUCGGGCAAGGGUUAAAUGCAGCUGAUGCCUCUGGUGUAGAAGUCGUUAGCUCUGCUGUCGGUGUCAUGUGACCAUCUUGAAUCUCCUCCGCCACUAUUUAAUAGUAACACCGUGCCCUGAUGACCCGCCAGUUUGAUCCAGGUGGAACCUGAACUAAUUGUUCCUGUGAGAGAUGGAAGACAUAACAAGGUAUCAAGAAAUCCAAAACAGCAUGGGUGAAGUCUUAUUUAGCAUCCUGCGGUGCACUGCCAAACGAUUUUAAAUCUCAGCAGCUUGGGGAUCAAGUGUGGCGAGUAAUGUUCUGGAAACUAUUUUCAGUAUAGUCCUGAAUAUUAUUUGGUUCAGCCAUGGCCAAAGAGAUCGGUGCUGUAAAAAAACCUGGAGGGCUCGGCACUCAUGCAGCGAGGCCUCAAGACAGUGUUUGAUGAAGCUUUCGAGAGGUUUGCUGCCCACCUCCCGUCAAGAAGAGGAAGAGAAAAUGCCUGCUAUUGUAAAUGUCUGGUCCCCUCUCCUGCCCUGCCCUAUCCCCUGGGAACCUCUGUAGGCUUUGCUCCAACAGUGGAGCCUUUACACUCAAUGCCAAGUUUUUGUUACAGAUUAGUUUUUCCAUAAAACCGUUUUGAACCAAUCAGUCAUUUUUAGGUUUUGUUUGUUUAAUGUGUAAUAGUUCAAACUUUCACAUUCUAUUAAAGUUUAGCCCUAAAGUUAAAAAAAAAAAAAGUUGGCAUAAAAGAAUGCUUUGGACACCUCAGAGUAUAUGAAAGCUAUGAACAUAGAGCUGGAUUCCUAGAACUCCGUGAGCCUUCCAAUAAAGUACCCUCAUCCUAGAAAGAGAGUACUCUAUAGACGAUGACUGUAACAAGACAGUGGGUGUGACCAACUGUGUUCUGAUCUCAUCCUCCCCAGGCUGUCAUACCUACAUUAUUCUGAUAGGAUUACAUAAAAGAGUGACUACUCUACAAAGGGAAAACAAAUAAACCUAAAAAAUUGUUAUCCCACAGACUAAAAUAACACAGAGGGUGACAGGAAUCUACACCUUAUUAUUCAGAAAUGGCUGUUCAGGAGGACUGGUCUGUAUCAUCGCUGCAAGAAUUAGGCACCAAAGCAAUCCCGAUGAACAAGAAACUAUUGUAUGCAUUGAAGUCCAGUAGUUAAAGCAGUAGACAUACAAUUAGAAAGAAAAAGGGAGUGAGAGAGCUAAUUUCAAAAUAUGAAAUCUAAAUCCCCUACCAGUGGGCCUUAAGUUAGACUCCCGAGAAAUCUAAAAGAAAGGUAACCUCUCAGAACCUGACUUCACUGCUUCUGCACUACAGUGUCUACAGUUCCAGAGGAAAUCUAUCUAGUUUUGCAAAUUCCAGAGUUUCUGAUGAUUGAUUAAAGGAGGGUUGUUUUAAUCUAAAGUCCCUGAACCCAGAAGACAAAAUUUGGAGCUUGUUCUAAUCACUGGUAACU